UACGUAGGGUGCGAGCGUUGUCCGGAAUUAUUGGCGUAAAGAGCUUGUAGGCGGUCUGUCGCGUCUGCUGUGAAAAUCCGGGGCUCAACCCCGGACUUGCAGUGGGUACGGGCAGACUAGAGUGUGGUAGGGGGAGACUGGAAUUCCUGGUGUAGCGGUGAAAUGCGCAGAUAUCAGGAGGAACACCGAUGGCGAAGGCAGCACUCUGGGACGGUACUGACGCUGAGACGCGAAAGCGUGGGGAGCAAACAGG
rnacentral:rRNA from 1 species